UACGGAGGGAGCUAGCGUUGUUCGGAAUUACUGGGCGUAAAGCGCACGUAGGCGGCUUUGUAAGUUAGAGGUGAAAGCCCGGAGCUCAACUCCGGAACUGCCUUUAAGACUGCAUCGCUUGAAUCCAGGAGAGGUGAGUGGAAUUCCGGGUGUAGAGGUGAAAUUCGUAGAUAUUCGCAAGAACACCAGUGGCGAAGGCGGCUCACUGGCCCGAUACUGACGCUGAGGCACGAAAGCGUGGGGAGCAAACGGG
rnacentral:rRNA from 1 species